rnacentral:rRNA from 1 species
AACGCUGGCGGCGCGCUUAACACAUGCAAGUCGAGCGAGAACCGGGACUUCGGUCCCGGGGACAGCGGCGAACGGGUGAGUAACACGUGGGUAAUCUGCCCUCGAUUCUGGGAUAGCCCGGGGAAACCCGGAUUAAUACCGGAUAGCCUUUCGAGCCCUCGGGCGCGAAAGAAAAGGUAGCUCCGGCCUCCGAUCGAGGAUGAGCCCGCGGUGGAUUAGCUUGUUGGUGAGGUAAUGGCUCACCAAGGCGACGAUCCAUAGCUGGUCUGGCAGGACGAUCAGCCACACUGGGACUGAGACACGGCCCAGACUCCUACGGGAGGCCGCAGUGGGGAAUCUUGCGCAAUGGGCGAAAGCCUGCCGCAGCGACGCCGCGUGGGGGAAGAAGGCCUUAGGGUUGUAAACCUCUUUCAGGCGGGACGAGGCCACUCGGGUUAACAGCCCAGAGGGUGACGGUACCGCCAGAAGAAGCCCCGGCUAACUACGUGCCAGCCGCCGCAGUAAAAC